UUCCUUCCUUCCGGCCGAUAUUACAUUUGUGGCUCCUUUGUGUGUGUUUACAGCCGCGACGGAGGAGCCCAGUCCGCAGUGAAGGGGCACGAGGAGGCCUUCCUUUGGGCAAAAGGCCACCCGAGGUGGGAAGCAGUUGAUGAAGCGGGAGAGAUCUUUCAACCAGAGGGAAGGAAGGAAGGAAGGAAGGAAAAAAGUGAGUUUAUAAUUAGACAAAACAGAGAUUGGGUUGCUGUGAGUUUUCCAGGCUGUCUGGCCAUGUUCCAGAAGCAUUCUCUCCUGACGUUUCACCCACCUCAGAAGCAAGUAGGGUUUAUAUAUCCGUGGAAUAAUGUCCAGGGUGGGAGAAAAAACUCUCUUCUGUUUAAAUGUUGCAAUUGGGCCGUUGAUUAGUGAUAAUAAUACGAUAUAAUGCUAAUAAUACAAUAUAAUAAUAUUAAUUAUAUAUUAUAAUUAAUUAAUAAUAUUAAUUAUAUAUAUUAUAUAUUAUACUUUAUAUGUAAUAUUACUAAUAAUAUUACAAUAUACAGUAGAGUCUCACUUAUCCAACAUAAACGGGCCGGCAGUAGCUUGGAUAAGCGAAUAUCUUGGAUAAUAAGGAGGGAUUAAGGAAAAGCCUAUUAAACAUCAAAUUAGGUUAUGAUUUUACAAAUUAAGUACCAAAACUUCAUGUUAUACAACAAAUUUGACAGGAAAAGUAGUUCAAUAUGCAGUAAUGCUAUGUGGUAAUUACUGUAUUUACAAAAUUAGCACCAAAAUAUCACGAUGUAUUGAAAAAUGAAAAAAACUUCAAAAAUGGCUUGGAUUAUCCAGAGGCUUGGACAAGUGAGACUCUACUGUAUUAUAUUUUAUAUGUAAUAUUACUAAUAAUAUUACAAUAUAUUUUUAUAGUACAAUAUAGUCAUUUAUUACCAAUAUUGUGCUAUGCUAAUACAGUAGAGUCUCACUUAUCCAACAUAAACCAGCCGGCAGAAAGUUGGAUAAGUGAAUACGUUGGAUAAUAAGGAGGAAUUAAGGAAAAGCCUAUUAAACAUCAAAUUAGGUUAUGAUUUUACAAAUUAAGCACCAAAACAUCAUGUUUUACAACAAAUUUGUCAGGAAAAGUAGUUCAAUACGCAGUAAUGUUAUGUUGCAAUUACUGUACAGUAGAGUCUCACUUAUCCAACAUAAACGGGCCAGCAGAAUGUUGGAUAAGCGAAUAUGUUGGAUAAUAAGGAGAGAUUAAGGAGAAGCCUAUUAAAUAUCAAAUUAGGUUAUGAUUUUACAAAUUAAGCACCAAAACAUCAUGUUAUACAACAAAUCUGGCAGAAAAAGUAGUUCAAUACGCAGUAAUGUUAUGUAGUAAUUACUGUAUUUACGAAUUUAGCACCAAAAUAUCACGAUGUAUUGAAAACAUUGACUACAAAAAUGCGUUGGAUAAUCGAGAACGUUGGAUAAGCGAGUGUUGGAUAAGUGAGACUCUACUGUAUUUACGAAUUUAGCACCAAAAUAUCACGAUGUAUUGAAAACAUUGACUACAAAAAUGCGUUGGAUAAUCGAGAACGUUGGAUAAGCGAGUGUUGGAUAAGUGAGACUCUACUGUAUUUACAAAUUUAGCACCAAAAU
rnacentral:lncRNA from 11 species